rnacentral:rRNA from 1 species
GUGAACGCUGGCGGUAGGCCUAACACAUGCAAGUCGAACGGCAGCACAGUAAGAGCUUGCUCUUACGGGUGGCGAGUGGCGGACGGGUGAGGAAUACAUCGGAAUCUACUUUUUCGUGGGGGAUAACGUAGGGAAACUUACGCUAAUACCGCAUACGACCUACGGGUGAAAGCAGGGGAUCUUCGGACCUUGCGCGAUUGAAUGAGCCGAUGUCGGAUUAGCUAGUUGGCGGGGUAAAGGCCCACCAAGGCGACGAUCCGUAGCUGGUCUGAGAGGAUGAUAGGCCACACUGGAAAUGAGACACGGUCCAGACUCCUACGGGAGGCAGCAGUGGGGAAUAUUGGACAAUGGGCGCAAGCCUGAUCCAGCCAUACCGCGUGGGUGAAGAAGGCCUUCGGGUUGUAAAGCCCUUUUGUUGGGAAAGAAAAGCAGCAGGUUAAUACCCCGCUGUUCUGACGGUACCCAAAGAAUAAGCACCGGCUAACUUCGUG